GUUCCUGUAGCUUAUACAAAGCAUGGCACUGAAGAUGCCAAGAUGGUCGCUAAACACACCCAAGAACA
rnacentral:tRNA from 1 species